rnacentral:rRNA from 1 species
UACGGGGGGGUAAGCGUUGUUCGGAAUUACUGGGCGUAAGGGCUCGUAGGCGGCCAACUAAGUCAGACGUGAAAUCCCUCAGCUUAACUGGGGAACUGCGUCUGAUACUGGAUGGCUUGGAUUCGGGAGAGGAAUGCGGAAUUCCAGGUGUAGCGGUGAAAUGCGUAGAUAUCUGGAGGAACACCGGUGGCGAAGGCGGCAUUCUGGACCGAUAUUGACGCUGAGGAGCGAAAGCCAGGGGAGCAAACGGG